CCUACGGGUGGCAGCAGUGAGGAAUAUUGGUCAAUGGCCGGAAGGCUGAACCAGCCAUGCCGCGUGAAGGUCAGUGCCCUAUGGGCGUUAAACUUCUUUUGUGCGGGAGCAAUAAUGGUCACGUGUGGCCAGACGAGAGUACCCUACGAAUAAGCAUCGCCUAACUCCGUGCCAGCAGCCGCGGUAAUACGGGGGAUGCAAGCGUUAUCCGGAUUUAUUGGGUUUUAAGGGUGCGUAGGCUGGGAGGUAAGUCAGCGGUGAAAUGCCCCCGCUCAACGGGGUGAAGUGCCAUUGAUACUGCCGUGCUGGAGUGCGGGUGACGUAGGAGGAAUGUGUGGUGUAGCGGUGAAAUGCAUAGAUAUCACACAGAACACCGAUUGCGAAGGCAGCUGACG
rnacentral:rRNA from 1 species